rnacentral:rRNA from 1 species
AUUGAACGCUGGCGGCAGGCCUAACACAUGCAAGUCGAACGGAUGAAGGGGGCUUGCUGCUGGAUUCAGCGGCGGACGGGUGAGUAAUGCCUAGGAAUCUGCCUGGUAGUGGGGGAUAACGUCCGGAAACGGGCGCUGAUACCGCAUACGUCCUGAUGUAGAAAGUGGGGGAGCUUCGGACCUCACGCUAUCAGAUGAGCCUAGGUCGGAUUAGCUAGUUGGUGGGGUAAAGGCCUACCAAGGCGACGAUACGUAACUGGUCUGAGAGGAUGAUCAGUCACACUGGAAGUGAGAAACGGUCGAGACUUCUACGGGAGGCAGCAGUGGGGAAUAUUGGAGGAUGGGGGAAAGGGUGAUCUAGCCAUGCCGCGUGUGUGCAGAAGGUGUUAGGAUUGUAAAGCACUUUAAGUUGGGAGGAAGGGCAGUAAGUUAAUCCCUUGCUGUUUUGACGUUACCAAGAGAAUAAGCCCCGGCUAACUCCGUG